rnacentral:rRNA from 1 species
GACGAACGCUGGCGGCGUGCUUAACACAUGCAAGUCGAGCGAGACCCCGCUUUCGGGUGGGUGUACUAGCGGCGAACGGGUGAGUAACACGUGGGCAACCUGCCCUCAGCUCUGGGAUAACUCCAAGAAAUUGGGGCUAAUACCGGAUAUGACCGCUGACCGCAUGGUCUGGUGGUGGAAAUAUUUCUCGGCAGGAGACGGGCCCGCGGCCUAUCCGCUUGUUGGUGGGGUAGUGGCCUACCAAGGCGACGACGGGUAGCCGGCCUGAGAGGGUGACCGGCCACACUGGGACUGAGACACGGCCCAGACUCCUACGGGAGGCAGCAGUGGGGAAUAUUGCGCAAUGGGCGAAAGCCUGACGCAGCGACGCCGCGUGGGGGAUGACGGCCUUCGGGUUGUAAACCUCUUUCAGCAGGGACGAAGCGAAAGUGACGGUACCUGCAGAAGAAGCACCGGCCAACUACGUGCCAGCCGCCGCCGUAA